CACCACAGAACUGCCCGGCAAGUGCUUGGUUUUCCAUUUCGCUUUUUCUGGACCGGUGGGGGAGAGCUGGGCUGCUGCGGGACACAGGUCGCUACCCCACGGCCGGCCUCCAAACCCCCUGUGCCCAGUAGCCUUCCCGGGAGCCUGAUCCUUGCGCGCCAAGAACACCAGCCUGGAGGGGCACCUGCAGAUGUGGAUCUUGAGGGCUAUAAAUGCCUUUCUGGAUCAUCCAAGAGGGCAUUUCCACAGAGAAGCAGCAAUACCAAACACAGCAUGAAGCCGUUCAUGGGGAGAGCUGACAAAACAGGUGAUAGAGAUGUCAACAAUACAUGACAGUUGCAAUGUUCAAUGACUGCUACUGCCUUGAAAUGACCUUACUGCCUACAGAUUUCCAAGAGAGAAGCCAGUAUUCCAAGAGCUGCGGAAACUUGGCAAAGAAAGAAUUACCUAUGGCCAGAAGGAAUGUAUUGAUUCAGCAUAUUUUCACUGCAGUGUAUUUAAGGCAGGAGGAAAGAAAGUUGUCAAUGAAAUAAAGCUUUGCCUUCACAAAGGCUUGUUAAAAUGACUUGUAUGAAUAAACAUCUCUGCUCACCUCA